UUAGAGUUUGAUCAUGGCUCAGGACGAACGCUGGCGGCGUGCCUAACACAUGCAAGUCGAGCGGAGAAUGCAGAAAUGUUUACAUGGAAGUAUUCUUAGCGGCGGACGGGUGAGUAACACGUGGGUAACCUGCCUCAAAGUGGGGGAUAGCCUUCCGAAAGGAAGAUUAAUACCGCAUAAGCCUACAGUGCCGCAUGGCACAGCAGGAAAAGGAGCAAUCCGCUUUGAGAUGGACCCGCGGCGCAUUAGCUAGUUGGUGAGGUAACGGCUCACCAAGGCGACGAUGCGUAGCCGACCUGAGAGGGUGAUCGGCCACAUUGGAACUGAGACACGGUCCAGACUCCUACGGGAGGCAGCAGUGGGGAAUAUUGCACAAUGGGCGAAAGCCUGAUGCAGCAACGCCGCGUGAGUGAUGAAGGCCUUCGGGUCGUAAAGCUCUUUGAUCAGGGAUGAUAAUGACAGUACCUGAAAAACAAGCCACGGCUAACUACGUGCCAGCAGCCGCGGUAAUACGUAGGUGGCGAGCGUUGUCCGGAAUUACUGGGCGUAAAGGAUGCGUAGGUGGAUACUUAAGUGGGAUGUGAAAUCCCCGGGCUCAACCCGGGAACUGCAUUCCAAACUGGGUAUCUAGAGUGCAGGAGAGGAAAGCGGAAUUCCUAGUGUAGCGGUGAAAUGCGUAGAUAUUAGGAGGAACACCAGUGGCGAAGGCGGCUUUCUGGACUGUAACUGACACUGAGGCAUGAAAGCGUGGGUAGCAAACAGGAUUAGAUACCCUGGUAGUCCACGCCGUAAACGAUGGGUACUAGGUGUAGGAGGUAUCGACCCCUUCUGUGCCGUCGUUAACACAAUAAGUACCCCGCCUGGGGAGUACGGUCGCAAGACUAAAACUCAAAGGAAUUGACGGGGGCCCGCACAAGCAGCGGAGCAUGUGGUUUAAUUCGAAGCAACGCGAAGAACCUUACCUAGACUUGACAUCUCCUGAAUUACCCUUAACCGGGGAAGCCUUUCGGGGCAGGAAAAACAGGGGUGCAUGGUUGUCGUCAGCUCGUGUCGUGAGAUGUUGGGUUAAGUCCCGCAACGAGCGCCACCCCUUAAUUUUAGUGCUACAUUUGGGUUGAGCCACUCUAAAGAGACUGCCCGGUUACCGGGAGAGUGGGAUGGACCGUCCAAUCAUCAUGCGCUAGUUCUAGGGCCUACCACGUGCUUACAUUGGGUGGA
rnacentral:rRNA from 1 species